rnacentral:misc_RNA from 1 species
GAUGAAUUUAGCCUUUUGGGGGGUGCUUAAAAAGGGGAAAAGCGUCGCUUUCAGCCCGGCACAAACAUACACUCCUUUUCCUUCCGAUGCUGUCACUGCUGAUGAAUAGAAUUUAUCUUUCUUUGAAUUUUAUUUCUCUGAUUUUCAUUUAAUAUUUUUCUGUUUCACUGCCUUUGGUAGCUUUGCUAGAAAUACUUGGCAAACAGUGCAUUGUUUUUUAGUCUGUGUAGAACUGUAGAUAAAUUUUGAUUCUUGUUCUGUUUUUGCAAAUCAGCAUUUACUCUAAUCUGAAUGUUUAAAAGUGGGGGGAAAAGUGUCCAAACAAGUAGUCUGAUUUAUCAGUUCCAUUCUUCUGGUAGAUAA